UAAUCACUUGUCUUUUAAAUGAAGACCCGUAUGAAAGGCAUCACGAGGGUUCAACUGUCUCCUCCCCCCAGUCAAUGAAAUUGAUCUGCCCGUGCAGAAGCGGACAUAUAAACAUAAGACGAGAAGACCCUAUGGAGCUUAAGACAAAAAGCCAAGCAUGUUACACAACCCACAAACCAAACGGGAUAAAAGGGUAUUAAACCCAAUGCCACCUGGCUAAAAUGUCUUCGGUUGGGGCGACCUCGGAGGAAAAACUAGCCUCCGCAUGGACUGGGGGAACACCCCUAAAACUAAGAAAUACAAAUCUAAGCAACAAAAAAUUUGACCAACAAUGACCCGGAGUAAUCCGAUCAACGAACCAAGUUACCCUAGGGAUAACAGCGCAAUCCCUUCCCAGAGUCCA
rnacentral:rRNA from 1 species